rnacentral:rRNA from 1 species
GUGAUGACUCUCGGCAACGGAUAUCUCGGCUCUCGC